CCUACGGGUGGCAGCAGUGAGGAAUAUUGGUCAAUGGACGAGAGUCUGAACCAGCCAAGUAGCGUGAAGGAUGACUGCCCUAUGGGUUGUAAACUUCUUUUAUAUGGGAAUAAAAUGUUCCACGUGUGGGAUUUUGUAUGUACCAUAUGAAUAAGGAUCGGCUAACUCCGUGCCAGCAGCCGUGGUAAUACGGAGGAUCCGAGCGUUAUCCGGAUUUAUUGGGUUUAAAGGGAGCGUAGGUGGAUUGUUAAGUCAGUUGUGAAAGUUUGCGGCUCAACCGUAAAAUUGCAGUUGAAACUGGCAGUCUUGAGUACAGUAGAGGUGGGCGGAAUUCGUGGUGUAGCGGUGAAAUGCUUAGAUAUCACGAAGAACUCCGAUUGCGAAGGCAGUUCACUGGACUGCAACUGACACUGAGGUUCGAAAGUGUGGGUAUCAAACAGGAUUAGAUACCCGAGUAGUC
rnacentral:rRNA from 1 species